rnacentral:rRNA from 1 species
UGGGGAAUUUUGGACAAUGGGCGCAAGCCUGAUCCAGCCAUGCCGCGUGCGGGAAGAAGGCCUUCGGGUUGUAAACCGCUUUUGUCAGGGAAGAAACGGUCUGUCUUAAUACUGCGGACUAAUGACGGUACCUGAAGAAUAAGCACCGGCUAACUACGUGCCAGCAGCCGCGGUAAUACGUAGGGUGCAAGCGUUAAUCGGAAUUACUGGGCGUAAAGCGUGCGCAGGCGGCUUUGCAAGACAGAUGUGAAAUCCCCGGGCUCAACCUGGGAACUGCAUUUGUGACUGCAAGGCUGGAGUGCGGCAGAGGGGGAUGGAAUUCCGCGUGUAGCAGUGAAAUGCGUAGAUAUGCGGAGGAACACCGAUGGCGAAGGCAAUCCCCUGGGCCUGCACUGACGCUCAUGCACGAAAGCGUGGGGAGCAAACAGGAUUAGAUACCCCAGUAGUCCCUGAGCGGGCUGGCAAGGCGCAU